rnacentral:rRNA from 1 species
CGAACUAUGAGUAGGACGCUUGGCCGCCGAACUUAAUACAUAAGCUCGACCUCAAAUCAGGUAGGAAUACCCGCUGAACUUAAGCAUAUCAAUAAGCGGAGGAAAAGAAACCAACAGGGAUUGCCUCAGUAGCGGCGAGUGAAGCGGCAAAAGCUCAGAUUUGAAAUCGUGUUUCGGCACGAGUUGUAGAUUGCAGGUUGGAGUCUUUGUGGAAGCGUGUGUCUAAGUCCCUUGGAACAGGGUGCCAUUGAGGGUGAGAGCCCCGUGAGACGCGUGCGGAAGCUGUAAGGCCCUUCUGACGAGUCGAGUUGUUUGGGAAUGCAGCUCUAAGUGGGUGGUAAAUUCCAUCUAAGGCUAAAUAUUGGCGAGAGACCGAUAGCGAACAAGUACUGUGAAGGAAAGAUGAAAAGCACUUUGAAAAGAGAGUGAAACAGCACGUGAAAUUGUUGAAAGGGAAGGGUAUUGGGCUCGACAUGGGAUUUGCGCACCGCUGCUCCUUGUGGGCGGCGCUCUGUGCUUUUCCUGGGCCAGCAUCGGUUUUUGCCGCAGGAGAAGGCGUGCUGGAAUGUGGCUCUUCGGAGUGUUAUAGCCAGUGCGAGAUGCUGCGUGCGGGGACCGAGGACUGCGACAUCUGUCUCGGAUGCUGGCACAACGGCGCAAUACCGCCCGUCUUGAAACAUGGACCAAGGAGUCUAACGUCUAUGCGAGUGUUUGGGUGUG